GGCUCCUUGUUUAAAUUUUGGAUGGGGAGUUGGACCUGCCCAGUGAGGUUUUUAACGGCCGCGGUAUUCUGACCGUGCAAAGGUAGCAUAAUCAUUUGCCUUAUAAUUGAAGGCUGGUAUGAAUGGUUUGACAAGAGUGCAACUGUCUCCUUGUGAUUUGUUAGAAUUUUAUUUGUAGGUGAAGAGGCCUAUAUUGUAUUAAAAGACGAGAAGACCCUAUCGAGCUUGAAAGGAGUUGGUGGUAUAAAAUUUAUAGAGUUAAGAUGAGUCUAUUUUAGAUUUUGGUUGGGGUGACUAAGGAACAGAGGUAGCUUCCUUUGUUGUUUAUUGUCUAACUGGUGUCGAUCCAAAAGAUUUUGAUUGAAGAAAUUAGUUACCGUAGGGAUAACAGCAUUAUCUUUUUUGAGAGCUCUUAUCGAAAAAAAGGUUUGUGACCUCGAUGUUGGACCAGAAUGUCCUAAAGAUGUAGAAGUCUUUGAGGGUUGGUCUGUUCGACCAUUAAAAUUCUACG
rnacentral:rRNA from 1 species